AGAUGCUAAAUUAGAAUCUUGUUUUGGAAAAUUUUGAUUUAUUGUCGUUACAUGAAUUGAUUUGUUUGUUUCGGUUACUUCUGGAUAUAGUGAUGUGACUGUGGGUUAAAGUAAAGUAUAUAGGGUAGCUUCAUUUGCUUGGUUGGCACGGUUAUGAAAUCAGUGUUUAUGGAAUUGGACUGUACUUUCAAUUAGCUACUUUCUCGUCUGCUUGUUGCUUGUGGAUAACAUUUGCUUAUCAGCUUUAGUUCCAUAUGGUUCUGAACUAUUAUGGGUUACUUGGUUUUUGGUAGACUGCAUUAUUUCUUCGUUAUUUAUUUGUACGAUAUCUUGAGUUAGUUGAUUUAAUUCCUGUUCAUCGUGUCACUCAUGUGACUGACAUUUUCUGAAUCUGAGUUUGUUUUUAAAGAGUACAGAAUGUACUAGAAAAUAAUGUUAAGACCUUAAGUGAUAUAGAGAUUAUGACUAAUAGUCUUAUGUUCAAUAACUUGGCAUCAAUGUAAUGGAGGCCUGAUGUUUCUGUACAAGUGUUUUUGAUUUGCUAUCAGUAAUUUUAUUUUGGUGCGCUGUGCAUGCUUCAUCACUAAUUUCUUUCCUUGUUUUUUUACUGUCUAAGAAAUGUGGCAUCCACUUAUU
rnacentral:misc_RNA from 1 species